ACAAGAUGAAAAUGAGAUGAAAACGAGACAAAAGCGAGAUGAAAUCAAGAUGAAAAUGAAUAAAACAAGACAAAACUAAGAUGAUAAUGAGAUUUUUAAAAAAGAUGAAAAUGAGAUGAAAUCAAGAUGAAAAUUAGCCAAAAACAUGAUGAAAAUGAAAAGAAGAAGACAAAACUAAGAUGAUAAUGAAAUUUUUAAAAAGAUGAUGAAAAUUAGCCAAAAAUGAGAUAUAGUGAUGAAAAUUAAGGCCUUUUGUAUUUCUGUAUCUCCACAGCAACCUCAUCCUUCAGUAUGUCAGUCAUCACAAACAGGCCACAUCCACACACAAACACACACACACACACACACACACACAUCUUGGCUGGAAAACAACAUAUUUCGUUCUUUGUUUCUCGGGAAUAUGGCAUAAAGGUUUUGCUAAAAAUAUGGGCCAAACAAGAGAAAAAUGAGACAAAAAUGAGAUGAAAUUGAGAUGAAAAGUAGACAAAAACGAGAUGCUAACGCAAUUAAAACAAGGAGGAAAAGGAGAUUAAAAUUAGAUGGAAAUGAGACAAAAAGAUGAUGAAAAUGAAAAAAACUAAACUAAGAUGAUGAUGAAAUUAAAACACGAUGAAAAUGAAAAUGAGAUAAAGAGAUGAAAAUAAAGGCAUUUUGUAUUUCUGUAUCUCCAUGGCAACCUCAUCCUUCAGUAUGUCAGUCAUCACAAACAGACCACAUCCACACACACACACACAUCUUGGCUGGAAAACAACAUUUUUCAUUCUUUGUUUCUCUGGAAUAUGGCAAAAAAUACGUGCCAAAAAAAAAAAAAAAAAAAGCGGUAGAGGAAAAAAAAAAAAAAAGGCCCUCUCUCCCAGAUGACGGUUCAUGAUUCAGACAUGUUUGCACCGUGCUCGGUUUUGGCAAAAUGAUUCGAUUUGUUGAAGAGACACAUGAUCCAAACAAACAAGUCAACACGUCUCCCACACAACAGUCUUUCUCUGCAUCUCGUCUCCUCUUCCUCCUGUCGCCAUCAACCCUCCUCUUUUUACUCGCACAUGCACAUCAAGAUCUUUCUCCUCAGCCGCAAAGGAAAUGAAACUGUCCAUGAGUGCGUUCAUUAUCUGUCUGCUUUCAAAGUGUCUGGAUUUUGUCAGUUGCUCCUAAACUUUUGCAGGAUCGUAUGUAGUCUGAGCCCUGUGUGACCUGUGUGUAUAUUAUUAGCUAGUACAUAUCUCAGUAUUGUAUUAUCAAUGUGCUUUUUAAGUCUUUUAACUGUGGAUAAAGAUGCAUUAAUUACGAUGUCGUACCCUGGAUUCCAGCUGUUCCUUUCUCAUUCAUGCUGCGUAGCUUAGAGCCCAAUGAACUGAUUGAAAACAUCAAUCAAAACUUUUUCAUCCGUAGACUAUGGACUUGUAAUUACUGUGAUCAAUGUACUUUUAUAAUAAAAAAGACUCUAUGCAAAAA